GAUGAAGAACGUAGCGAAAUGCGAUAAGUAGUGUGAAUUGCAGAAUUCAGUGAAUCAUCGAAUCUUUGAACGCACAUUGCGCCCUUUGGCAUUCCGAAGGGCAUACCUGUUCGAGCGUCAUUGCACCUCUCAAGCACAGCUUGGUGUUGGGCGCCUGUCCCCGCGUUUGCGCGGUGGACUCGCCUGAAAAGCAUCGGCGUCCGGCGGCUGGUCUUGCGCGUAGCAGAUUGUUCGCACAAGGACCGGGCCGCGGGGCUGCCGCACACGUCUUUGAUUCUUAGUUUGCCCUCGGAUCGGUAGGGAUACCCGCUGAACUUAAGCAUAUCAAUAAGCGGAGGA
rnacentral:misc_RNA from 1 species